rnacentral:rRNA from 1 species
AGAGUUUGAUCCUGGCUCAGGAUGAACGCUAGCGACAGGCUUAACACAUGCAAGUCGAGGGGCAGCGGGGGUAGCGAUACCCGCCGGCGACCGGCGCACGGGUGAGUAACGCGUAUGCAACUUACCUAUCAGAGGGGGAUAACCCGGCGAAAGUCGGACUAAUACCGCAUGAAGCAGGGGCCCCGCAUGGGGAUAUUUGCUAAAGAUUCAUCGCUGAUAGAUAGGCAUGCGUUCCAUUAGGCAGUUGGCGGGGUAACGGCCCACCAAACCGACGAUGGAUAGGGGUUCUGAGAGGAAGGUCCCCCACAUUGGUACUGAGACACGGACCAAACUCCUACGGGAGGCAGCAGUGAGGAAUAUUGGUCAAUGGGCGUAAGCCUGAACCAGCCAAGUCGCGUGAGGGAUGAAGGUUCUAUGGAUCGUAAACCUCUUUUAUAAGGGAAUAAAGUGCGGGACGUGUCCCGUUUUGUAUGUACCUUAUGAAUAAGGAUCAGCUAACUCCGUGCCAGCAGCCGCGGUAAUACGGAGGAUCCGAGCGUUAUCCGGAUUUAUUGGGUUUAAAGGGUGCGUAGGCGGCCUUUUAAGUCAGCGGUGAAAGUCUGUGGCUCAACCAUAGAAUUGCCGUUGAAACUGGGGGGCUUGAGUAUGUUUGAGGCAGGCGGAAUGCGUGGUGUAGCGGUGAAAUGCUUAGAUAUCACGCAGAACCCCGAUUGCGAAGGCAGCCUGCCAAGCCAUGACUGACGCUGAUGCACGAAAGCGUGGGGAUCAAACAGGAUUAGAUACCCUGGUAGUCCACGCAGUAAACGAUGAUCACUAGCUGUUUGCGAUACACUGUAAGCGGCACAGCGAAAGCGUUAAGUGAUCCACCUGGGGAGUACGCCGGCAACGGUGAAACUCAAAGGAAUUGACGGGGGCCCGCACAAGCGGAGGAACAUGUGGUUUAAUUCGAUGAUACGCGAGGAACCUUACCCGGGUUUGAACGCAUUCGGACCGAGGUGGAAACACCUUUUCUAGCAAUAGCCGUUUGCGAGGUGCUGCAUGGUUGUCGUCAGCUCGUGCCGUGAGGUGUCGGCUUAAGUGCCAUAACGAGCGCAACCCUUGCCACUAGUUACUAACAGGUUAGGCUGAGGACUCUGGUGGGACUGCCAGCGUAAGCUGCGAGGAAGGCGGGGAUGACGUCAAAUCAGCACGGCCCUUACAUCCGGGGCGACACACGUGUUACAAUGGCGUGGACAAAGGGAUGCCACCUGGCGACAGGGAGCGAAUCCCCAAACCACGUCUCAGUUCGGAUCGGAGUCUGCAACCCGACUCCGUGGAGCUGGAUUCGCUAGUAAUCGCGCAUCAGCCAUGGCGCGGUGAAUACGUUCCCGGGCCUUGUACACACCGCCCGUCAAGCCAUGGGAGCCGGGGGUACCUGAAGUCCGUAACCGCGAGGAUCGGCCUAGGGUAAAACUGGUGACUGGGGCUAAGUCGUAACAAGGUAGCC